UGGGGCGUCGCCAAGUGGUAAGGCACCGGGUUUUGGUCCCGGCAUUCGCAGGUUCGAAUCCUGCCGCCCCAGCCA
rnacentral:tRNA from 1 species